rnacentral:rRNA from 3 species
UGGGGAAUUUUGGACAAUGGGGGAAACCCUGAUCCAGCCAUGCCGCGUGUAUGAAGAAGGCCUUAGGGUUGUAAAGUACUUUUGUUAGGGAAGAAAAGCUAGUUUUUAAUAAAAAUUAGUGAUGACGGUACCUAAAGAAUAAGCACCGGCUAACUACGUGCCAGCAGCCGCGGUAAUACGUAGGGUGCAAGCGUUAAUCGGAAUUAUUGGGCGUAAAGCGAGUGCAGACGGUUACUUAAGCCAGAUGUGAAAUCCCCAAGCUUAACUUGGGACGUGCAUUUGGAACUGGGUGACUAGAGUGUGUCAGAGGGAGGUAGAAUUCCACAUGUAGCGGUGGAAUGCGUAGAGAUGUGGAGGAAUACCGAUGGCGAAGGCAGCCUCCUGGGAUAACACUGACGUUGAGGCUCGAAAGCGUGGGGAGCAAACAGG